AACAAACAAACAAAAACACAAAAACAAACUUACUCUCAUCUCAUGCAUUACGAUGCUUGCUACUUUGUCUUAGCAACAAUGAACUAUAACAGUUUCAAAGACAUUAUGGAAAAGAGACAUUAUAUUAAUAAAAGAAGCCUGCAUGCUGGACAUGUAUGGUAUAAUUAUUUUUUUCCUUUUUUUUCCCCCCAAUUUGGCUUGGAAAUGGACUUUUGAAGACUUAGCGCAUGACAUCCAUACUUUUGAUUUACAGCCUCAUGACUUUUUUGAGUUCCAAACAACAACAGAAAAAGUACAACCCCAGAGCCUUCUUCCCUUGACAGUUUGCUUCUACUCCUGACUGCUUUGAGUUACAAUGAACUUCAGCCUCCCGUUGUACAUGCACUGAAGGCGUUCCUUGUCAAAGAUAGCAGAAUGGGCUACAAAUUUAUAUGGCAAAUAUUAUAGAACGUAAAUUAAAUGUUUUCUUUUUAGAAACAAUGAUGCCUGCUUUGGGGCACUUUAAAUUGUGCUAUUGCCAAAAGCAGUCUAAAUUUUCUUUGAAAAGAAAGAAAAAAAAAAUCUGCCCCAAUUAUUUUUUGGUUGGUUUUAUUUUUUUUUAUUUUAUUUUUUCUAUUUUUUUUUUAAUUUUUUUGGUUUUUGGUCAUUGUCAAAUGUGGAAUGCUAUGGGUUUCUAGUAUAUAAUUUAAUUCUAGAUUUUAUAAUCUGUUAGCCCAGUUAAAAUGUAUGCUACAGAUAAAGGAAUGUUAUAGAUACAUUUGAAAGAGUUAGGUCUGUGUAGCUGUAGAUUUUUUUAAAGACCGAUGCACUAAAUUGUUUACUGUUGUGAUGUUAAGGGGGGUAGAGUUUGCAAGGGGACUGUUUAAAAAGUAGCUUUCUGAAGCAUGUGCUUGCAACUUAAAUAUAAGUUGGGUAUGUGUAGUUCUUGCUAUACCAUGGACUGUAUUGAAAACCAAAGUAUUAAAAGGGGAAAUGCCCCUGUUUAUAUCUGUAGGGGUAUUUUACAUUCAAAAUGUAUGUUUUUUUCCAAAAUUAAAGUAUUUGGGACUGAAUUGCACUAAGAUAUAACCUGCAAGCAUAUAAUACAAAAAAAAAUCGCAAAAACUGUUUAGAACGCUAAUAAAAUUUAUGCAGUUAUAAAAUGGCAUUACUGCACAGUUUUAAAGUGAUGCAGAUUUUUUACAGUUAUGUUGUGGUGCAGAACUGGAUUUUCUGUAACUUAAAAAAAUCCACAGUUUUAAAGGCAAUAACCAGUAAAUGUUAUUUUCAGGGACUGACAUCCUGUCUUAGAAAGAAAGAAAGAAAGAAAGAAAGAAAGAAAGAAAGAAAGAAAGAAAGAAAGAAAGAAAAGGAAAGGAAAUCUUACCACAAUAAAUAUAAGAAAUCUUGUCAGUUACUUUUCUUUUACAUAUUUUGCUGUGCAAAAUUGUUUUAUAACUUGAGUUACUAACUAACCACGCGUGACGUUCUACAUGCUUCUCUUUCAUUUUCAAUUCUGGUUAUAUCAAGAGAAAGAAUAAUCUACAAUAAUAAACUGCAUUUUUUUUGAUUC
rnacentral:lncRNA from 1 species